rnacentral:rRNA from 1 species
UACGAAGGGGGCAAGCGUUACUCGGAAUUACUAGGCGUAAAGCGCAUGUAGGUGGCUUGGUAAGUCUGCUGUGGAAGCUCCUGGCUUAACUGGGAGAGGUCAGCAGAAACUGCCAAGCUUGAGUGUGGGAGAGGGUACUGGAAUUCCCGGUGUAGCGGUGAAAUGCGCAGAGAUCGGGAGGAACACCAAUGGCGAAAGCAGGUGCCUGGACCAUUACUGACACUAAGCUGCGAAAGCUAGGGGAGCAAACAGG